AUUUAAAUAGCUUAUUUUUUAGAGCGCAAUAUUGAAGAUAUUGAGGAAAUAUAAAUUAUUUUUAAAUA
rnacentral:tRNA from 1 species